rnacentral:rRNA from 1 species
AUUGAACGCUGGCGGCAUGCCUUACACAUGCAAGUCGAACGGCAGCGGGGACUUCGGUCCGCCGGCGAGUGGCGAACGGGUGAGUAAUGUAUAGGAACGUACCAUCGAGUGGGGGAUAACUCUCCGAAAGGAUAGCUAAUACCGCAUAUUCUCUCCGGAGGAAAGCAGGGGACCGCAAGGCCUUGCGCUCAUUUCGCGGCCGAUAUCAGAUUAGCUAGUUGGUGAGGGAAAGGCUAGCCAAGGCGACGAUCUGUAGCGGGUCUGAGAGGAUGAUCCGCCACACUGGAACUGAGACACGGUCCAGACUCCUACGGGAGGCAGCAGUGGGGAAUUUUGGACAAUGGGGGCAACCCUGAUCCAGCCAUGCCGCGUGAGUGAAGAAGGCCUUCGGGUUGUAAAGCUCUUUCGGCCGGGAAAAAAUCGCAUGGGUUAAUACCCUGUGUGGAUGAUGGUACCGGAAUAAGAAGCACCGGCUAACUACGUGCCAGCAGCCGCCGUAACAC